rnacentral:rRNA from 1 species
UCCAGACUCCUACGGGAGGCAGCAGUGGGGGAUAUUGCACAAUGGGGGAAACCCUGAUGCAGCGACGCCGCGUGAGUGAAGAAGUAAUUCGUUACGUAAAGCUCUAUCAGCAGGGGAGAAAAUGACGGUACCUGACUAAGAAGCCCCGGCUAACUACGUGCCAGCAGCCGCGGUAAUACGUAGGGGGCAAGCGUUAUCCGGAAUUACUGGGUGUAAAGGGAGCGCAGACGGCAGUGCAAGUCUGGAGUGAAAGCCCGUGGCUUAACUGCGGGACUGCUCUGGAAACUGUGCAGCUAGAGUGUCGGAGGGGCAAGUGGAAUUCCUAGUGUAGCGGUGAAAUGCGUAGAUAUUAGGAGGAACACCAGUGGCGAAGGCGGUCUGCUGGACAGCAACUGACGGUGAGGCGCGAAAGCGUGGGGAGCAAACAGGAUUAGAUACCCGAGUAUG